rnacentral:rRNA from 1 species
CAAUAGCGUAUAUUAAAGUUGUUGCAGUUAAAAAGCUCGUAGUUGGAUUUGUGGCGUACGGUGGGUUCCGGGCACUUGUUGUCUGAGUAACUUGCUGUUGCCAUCCUUGGGUGGAACCUGUGUGGCAUUAGGUUGUCGUGCAGGGGAUGCCCAUCAUUUACUGUGAAAAAAUUAGAGUGUUCAAAGCAGGCUUAUGCCGUUGAAUAUAUUAGCAUGGAAUAAUGAGAUAGGACUUUUUUGCUAUUUUGUUGGUUUGCGCAAAGAGGUAAUGAUUAAUAGGGACAGUUGGGGGUGUUCGUAUUCCAUUGUCAGAGGUGAAAUUCUUGGAUUUUUGGAAGACGAACUACUGCGAAAGCAUUUACCAAGGAUGUUUUCAUUAA